AGCAGAAACAAAAUCCUUAAUGGCGCAUAACACCAACCCAGCUAUUCCAGUCUACCGCUAAGCGAUAUGUUGGAUAUAUGGUGCGUGGGUGGACACAGGAAGCGUUUGAUAUGUUUGAAAUUAUACUUGUGUGUGUGUGUGUGUAUACUAUAUGUCUGCCUAUAUCUCGGCUUUGCUGGCAGAACCUCUACCUCAUUGGUUAUUUUAUAUCUAGAGUUUACUAGUUGUGAAACAACAACGACAGAGCAUUGCACCCUGAUACAGAACAACGACAGAGCAUUGCACCCUGAUACAGAACAACGACAGAGCAUUGCAUGCUGAUACAGAACAAUGACAGAGCAUUGCACCCUGAUACAGAACAACGACAGAGCAUUGCACCCUGAUACAGAACAACGACAGAGCAGUGCACCCUGAUACAGAACAACGACAGAGCAUUGCACCCUGAUACAGAACAACGACAGAGUAUUGCACCAUGCUACAGAACAACAACAGAGCAUUGCACCAUGCUACAGAACAACAGAGUAUUGCACAAUCAUGGAGCGAAUAUUGCACAUUUACAGAUCAAUAAAAAGUGAAAAUUCCUAUAUCCUCAGAUAACGGUGCCAUAUUACAAUUCUUUAGGCCACAUGGCGGCAGACAGAUCGAGUUAUUGGCUACAUGGCCCAAGAUGGCUGCCUUGUGUUUAUAUUAACGUGUAUUACUCACAGUGCC